rnacentral:rRNA from 1 species
UGGGGAAUAUUGCACAAUGGGGGAAACCCUGAUGCAGCGACGCCGCGUGAGCGAAGAAGGCUUUCGAGUCGUAAAGCUCUGUCCUAUGAGAAGAUAAUGACGGUAUCAUAGGAGGAAGCCCUGGCUAAAUACGUGCCAGCAGCCGCGGUAAUACGUAUGGGGCGAGCGUUGUCCGGAAUUAUUGGGCGUAAAGGGUACGUAGGCGGUUUUUUAAGUCAGGUGUCAAAGCGUGGAGCUUAACUCCAUUAAGCACUUGAAACUGAAAGACUUGAGUGAAGGAGAGGAAAGUGGAAUUCCUAGUGUAGCGGUGAAAUGCGUAGAUAUUAGGAGGAAUACCGGUGGCGAAGGCGGCUUUCUGGACUUUUACUGACGCUCAGGUACGAAAGCGUGGGGAGCAAACAGG